rnacentral:tRNA from 1 species
GGGCCAUUAGCUCAGCUGGCUAGAGCACCUGCUUUGCAAGCAGGGGGUCGUGGGUUCGAAUCCCACAUGGUCCACCA